rnacentral:tRNA from 1 species
GGCGUUGGGAAACAACAGGAAAGGCCGUCUGACAGAUUCCUAAUCUGUAGGUCACAGGUUCGAUUCCUGUCGGGUUCACCA